ACCUUCGGGUGGCGAGUACAGCGGCGCACGGGUGAGUAACGCGUGGGUAAUCUGCCUUUGGGUUCGGGACAACCUCGGGAAACUGGGGCUAAUACCGGAUGAGACCACGGGAUCCUCGGGUCCUGCGGAAAAAGAUGGCCUCUGCUUGCAAGCCAUCGCCUGAAGAUGAGCCUGCGUCCCAUUAGCUUGUUGGUGAGGUAACGGCUCACCAAGGCUCCGAUGGGUAGCUGGUCUGAGAGGAUGAUCAGCCACACUGGGACUGAGACACGGCCCAGACUCCUACGGGAGGCAGCAGUCGGGAAUUUUGGGCAAGGGGGAAACCCUGACCCAGCAACGCCGCGUGAGGGAUGAAGGCCCUCGGGUCGUAAACCUCUGUCGGGAGGGAAGAACGGCUGUCGGUCGAAUAGGCCGGCAGUUUGACGGUACCUCCAAAGGAAGCACCGGCUAACUCCGUGCCAGCAGCCGCGGUAAUACGGAGGGUGCGAGCGUUGUUCGGAAUCAUUGGGCGUAAAGCGCGUGUAGGCGGCUAGGUAAGUCGGAUGUGAAAGCCCGAGGCCCAACCUCGGAAUUGCAUUCGAUACUGCCUAGCUGGAGUCCCGGAGAGGGUGGCGGAAUUCCCAGUGUAGAGGUGAAAUUCGUAGAUAUU
rnacentral:rRNA from 1 species